rnacentral:tRNA from 1 species
GCGCUUGUAGCUCAAAGGACAGAGCGCAGCCCUGCGGAGGCUGAGGCUGCGGGUUCGAGCCCCGCCAAGCGCGCCA